ACGCUGAAGUUGUUUACGCCUCA
rnacentral:siRNA from 1 species